AUUUUGACGGCAUGGCAUAUCACCAGAUAGUAUACAAAAAUUUAACCAGCCAACACUCAAAUGUACCUUAAUUUUUUAUUGUUAUAAUAAAAGUUUGUAUUCAUUCCAAAAUCACUAAUGUGUUGAACUUUCAUCAGGAGUAUAUAAAUUACGCACAAAAUCACGUGACACGAAUAAAAUCACAAAUGCAGACAGAAUGCCUUAGGUAAUUUUGCUCUGAAUGUGCCGUGACUGUUGCCAAUGAAAAUAAAUCAAGAAAUUAAUAAUAAAAAGUCGUGAUGGAUAGAUUUUAUGUAAUUCGUCAAGUGAACAAAAGUAAAACAUGACAAGCCUUGAAUUCCAGAGG